UAGGAAUUUGUAAUCUAGAAAUCGUACCUUGAAAAUCCGAGUUGGCUUUUUCCGCUGAAGUGAUUUAGGCUCCUAGAUCACGAUCCGCCACCACCACUCAUGUUAGAUCACGAUCCGUCACCACUACGCUUGUUAGAUCACGAACUGUCACCAAUGAUCUUCCAGGUUAUGACUUAGGUUCGAUCUGCACUUGACAUGUGGGCGCCUUUAUCACUACCAAAGCAACUAGCACAAGAAAACUUUUCUCUCAACAAUAGAGAGAAAAAUCUUAUUCUCCGAUUUGUAUAAAGUGGCUUCACACUUUUUCUUUUGAGAAAAUAAGCCUUAUAUAUCUCCCUUUAGUGAAAACCCUAGGCUCCAAAUAAUGCCCCAAAUAAAACUCACGUUACUUUUCAUUUAAUAGGGGACCCACCAUGUAAAAUAGCAUAAGGCUCCUUACACAUAAGCUAAUUAAAUGGAGCCUCCCACUAAAUGAUAUAUUUAGGCUUUUGACCCAAAUAACUAGUUAUCUUGCUUAUUAGUCCAGUAGUGGUGCAGUCAAUUAAAUGAGCUAACCCGGGGAUCAUUUGGGAACAUACAAUAGUGGUUAUAACAAUUAGGCCUGUAAUUAAAUUAGCCUAAUUAUUUAAUUCCAAAUCUACUCCACUAAAAAAUUGGAAUUGACCUCCAUAAUUGGAUGCUCGAAUAAUAAUUCGUCCCAAGCCACAUUGAUUUCUUUACUGCACAAUCCUUUGUACCACAUCAUUAAUUAAAUCGAUAUCUCAACUGUCUAAUCAAUUUAAUCACAUCUUGUUCCUUGAUACUUAUUGGUUUUCUCUAAUGAUCAUUUUCAACAUACUAAAUAUGUUGACACACUCUGGCCAGAGAAUUCUAUGAUCAAGUGCCGAAAACCCAUCAAGAGAUGUGUUGUACAAAUUCUAUAUUGUUAAUUCAUAACUCCAAUACUCAUAAUUGCUCCCACCAAGAUACUGGGUAAUCUAGACUACAAGUACGUGCCAUGCCCAUUGGUAACUCAAAUGGAAUAACAAUUACAAUCAUAAAUUCAUAAUUAACUCAAGAUUAAGAUUACAGUAAAAUCAAUGCCUAUGAGAUUUAAUAAGUCUGACAGUUAUUACAAAGUUAAUUAAAUCUCACAUGUGAUCCUGUUCAAUGUAGUCGUACUACAUCAAUAAAUUCAUACAUGAUUAAGACAAAUCAUUCAAUGAAUUUAUUACAGUCUAUACCUAAAUAAAGUGCCCAACUUUAUUUAUCAACUGCGAACUAAAUUUAUUUAAUCAUAAGAUAACUUGUAUUUAUGUCUUCUGUGAAUCCACACGGUGAUCACAUAAAUACAUAUAAUAUGAUUAAAUGGACUUUAAUCCAAAUAUUAAUGCAAUUAAGAUAUUUGAAUAAAAUACCUCAUUUAUUUUAUUAAUCAGAAAAAAAAUGUUUAUUACAAUUAAAUAAACACAUAUGCUUUUAAAGAGCAUAUUUUCCCAACAGUUUUAUCUUUAUUCAAAUUUUAAACCAAACCCAACGUUUUAAAAGUAAACUAAAUAAAGAUAAAUAUCAAUUUAAAUUAGAAAACUAAUAAUUAAAAUAAAUUAGAUGGCCACAUUAUACACGUUUUGAAAACGUGUCUAACAUUCUAAAUUAAUGUU
rnacentral:lncRNA from 1 species